CAGAUGGGUCAGGGCUGGGAUAGGGGAGGACAGGGGCCUGCAGGAUCCAAGAGGAGAGUGGGUGCUGCUUACUCAGUCUGGGGGGGUUGAAGAGCUGUCUAAACUUAGACCACAAAGACAGGAUGGGGGCUGGGCGCCGUGGCUCCUGCCUGUAAUCCCAGCACUUUGGGAGAAAGAGUAGAGACAGAGUUUCACCAUGUUGGCCAGGCUGGUCUCGAACACCCAACCUCUCCAAUGCCCAUCGUCAGGUAAUCCACCUGCCUCAGCCUCCCAGACUGCUUCGACUGGCUUUGGCUUUGGCCACAAGCUGGGUUUGAAUCACAGCUCCCCGCACUAAUCAGAUGUAUCACGAUCAAAGGACUCAAGAAACAACACGGAGACCGAAAAACGUUGCCACAUCAGGUGACACUUUGGCCAGAGUUAUGGAAAAUGCUGACAAAACAGGAAUUUGCCAGCACGGGCAGAGAUGCUACCAAUCCGAC